CAUGCAGUCGACGAAGCGGUUACAGGGAUUCCCUUCGGGGAGGAACGGUAACUGCCUGAGUGGCGGACGGGUGAGUAACGCGUGGGCAACCUGCCCCAUACCGGGGGAUAACAGCCGGAAACGGCUGCUAAUACCGCAUACGCCCAGGAGGCUGCAUAGCUUCCUGGGGAAAACUCCGGUGGUAUGGGAUGGGCCCGCGUCUGAUUAGCUCGUUGGCGGGGUAACGGCCCACCAAGGCGACGAUCAGUAGCCGGCCUGAGAGGGCGGCCGGCCACAUUGGGACUGAGACACGGCCCAGACUCCUGCGGGAGGCAGCAGUGGGGAAUAUUGCACAAUGGGGGAAACCCUGAUGCAGCGACGCCGCGUGAGCGAUGAAGUAUCUCGGUAUGUAAAGCUCUAUCGGCAGGGAAGAAAGUGACAGUACCUGACUAAGAAGCCCCGGCUAACUACGUGCCAGCAGCCGCGGUAAUACGUAGGGGGGCAAGCGUUAUCCGGAUUCACUGGGCGUAAAGGGAGCGCAGGCGGCACGGCAAGUCUGGUGUGAAAACCCGGGGCUCAACCCCGGGACUGCAUUGGAAACUGCCGGGCUGGAGUGUCGGAGGGGUAAGCGGAAUUCCUAGUGUAGCGGUGAAAUGCGUAGAUAUUAGGAGGAACACCAGUGGCGAAGGCGGCUUACUGGACGAUGACUGACGCUGAGGCUCGAAAGCGUGGGGAGCAAACAGGAUUAGAUACCCUGGUGGUCCACGCCGUAAACGAUGAAUACUA
rnacentral:rRNA from 1 species